rnacentral:rRNA from 1 species
UACGUAGGGUGCAAGCGUUAAUCGGAAUUACUGGGCGUAAAGCGUGCGCAGGCGGUUUGUUAAGUCAGCUGUGAAAUCCCCGGGCUUAACCUGGGAAUGGCAGUUGAGACUGGCAGGCUAGAGUGUGUCAGAGGGGGGUCGAAUUCCACGUGUAGCAGUGAAAUGCGUAGAGAUGUGGAGGAACACCGAUGGCGAAGGCAGCCCCCUGGGAUAACACUGACGCUCAUGCACGAAAGCGUGGGGAGCAAACAGG